rnacentral:rRNA from 1 species
UACGGGGGGGGCAAGCGUUGUUCGGAAUUACUGGGCGUAAAGGGCUCGUAGGCGGCCAACUAAGUCGGAUGUGAAAUCCCCAGGCUCAACUUGGGAACUGCAUCCGAUACUGGAUGGCUUGAAUUCGGGAGAGGGAUGCAGAAUUCCAGGUGUAGCGGUGAAAUGCGUAGAUAUCUGGAGGAAUACCGGUGGCGAAGGCGGCAUCCUGGACCGACAUUGACGCUGAGGAGCGAAAGCUAGGGAGCAACGGG